rnacentral:rRNA from 1 species
CGGGGUGCCCAGGCGCGAAAACUCCACAAUGUACGGAAGUACGAUGGGGUUAUCUCGAGUGCAGUCCGAUAAGGGCUGCUUUUCCAUAGAGUAAUAUCCUGUGGGAAUAAGAGGGGGGCAAGACUGGUGUCAGCCGCCGCGGUAACACCAGCCCCUCGAGUGGUGGGGACUAUUAUUUGGCCUAAAGCGUCCGUAGCUGGCUGUAUCCGUCCCCCGUUAAAUCCAGCGUCCUAAGCGUUGGACCGCGGGUGAUACCAUACAGCUAGAGGGUGGGAUAGGUGAGCGGUAUUUCUGGGGUAGGGGCGAAAUCCUUUGAUCCCAGGAGGACCACCAGUGGCGAAGGCUGCUCACUAGAACACGCCUGACGGUCAGGGACGAAAGCUGGGGCAGCGAACCGGAUUAGAUACCCGGGUAGUCCCAGCUGUAAACGAUGCUAGCUAGGUGUUGGGUCGGCCACGCGCCGCCCCAGUGCCGCAGGGAAGCCGUUAAGCUAGCCGCCUGGGGAGUACGGCCGCAAGGCUGGAACUUAAAGGAAUUGGCGGGGGAGCAC